rnacentral:lncRNA from 1 species
AAAAAUUUGCUUUUUUUAUUCCUCUUGAAAUGAUUUAUAAGACACUGGACUGUCUUAUAUUCUACAAAUACUAGAAUCAGCUGAGAGAAGUAGUUUACAAAAAACCAGAAAGGAAACGGAAUAUGUGGCUACAAAAGGCAAAAGAAAGGUUUACAAAGCAAAUGUGACACAUUUUUUUAAAUAUUUAGGAAUAUCAGUAAAUUACAUUAAAAAAAUGUAUGAAAAGAUUUUGUUCAAUAAAAAUGUUUAUAUUUA